GGCCAUGUCUUCCGCUGUGAUCUGGACUGAUUGUGCCAGCCAGCUGUUGAAGAAGGUGCCGUCGAUGGGGAAUGAGGUGGAUAAGCCUGACCAAGGGGAGAGAGGACGGCAGGUGAGAUGGGGCAGGGACACACCUCACUGACCCCCGAAAG